UACAGGGGGUGCAAACGUUGCUCGGAAUCAUUGGGCGUAAAGCGCACGUAGGCGGUCUGUUAUGUCGGAUGUGAAAGCCCUUGGCUUAACUGAGGAAGUGCAUCCGAAACUGGCAGGCUAGAGUACUAAAGAGGGUCGCGGAAUUCCCGGUGUAGAGGUGAAAUUCGUAGAUAUCGGGAAGAACAUCGGUGGCGAAAGCGCUCUGCUGGACUGCAACUGACACUAAAGGACGAAAGCUAGGGGAGCGAAUGGG
rnacentral:rRNA from 1 species